rnacentral:lncRNA from 1 species
UUGACGGAGUCUCGCACUGUCGCCCAGGCUGGAGGGCAGUGGCGCCAUCUCGGCUCACUGCAAGCUCCGCCUCCCGGGUUCACUCCAUUUUCCCGCCUCAGCCCUCCGCCACCACGCCCAGCUAAUUGUUUGUAUUUUUAGUAUAGACGGAGAUUUCACCAUGUUAGCCAGGAUGGUCUCGAUUUCCUUACCUCAUGAUCCCCUGCCUCGGCCUCCCAAAGUGCUGGGAUUACAGGCGUGAACCAAGGCGCCCGGCCGGAGUAGGAAUUUUAUGGGUUAUAAACUAAGGAUAUGGAGGUCGACUUGAGGAAGAAACCUGGAGUAUAAAAAUUCAGUUUGGAAAAAGACGUUUUGUCUCUUAAACUGAAGCACAUUCCUGCCAUUCAUUCGGACCAUACGAAGAUAAAACUAAAAACUUUUCUCUAAAGCUCCUGGUGAUGGUAGUUGAGUCAAUGAGCCACCAGCAACAACAAAGGACAAAAAGGUCACUGUACUGUCAUUGUUUAUUUGAAAUCUAAAGGUGUAAUGCAAGAAUAUGCAAGACCACAGGGACUGGAGACACAAAGAGCAUCUGAAGAGAGCUUGAAUGACUCCCAACAGUUCCAGUCUCAAAGUUACCAUGUGCAGCACAGUCAGGGCAGCAUGUGAGAAGAACAACAAGAAAGCUGGGGUCUGCCAGAGAAGACGGAAGCCCUCACAUUAAACUGAGUCAGCUGGCAUCUUGAUCUUGGACUUUCAAAUCUCCAGAACUGUGAGAAAUAAAUGUUAGUUGUUUAAACCACCCAGUCUAUGGUAUUUUGUUAUAGCAGCCCAAGCAGACCAAGACACUACUUUU